rnacentral:rRNA from 1 species
CGGGGGGCUUCGGAGGGUUCACUCCCAACCCAUGUGACGUUACCAAACUGUUGCCUCGGCGGGAUCUCUGCCCCGGGUGCGUCGCAGCCCCGGACCAAGGCGCCCGCCGGAGGACCAACCAAAACUCUUAUUGUAUACCCCCUCGCGGGUUUUUUUAUAAUCUGAGCCUUCUCGGCGCCUCUCGUAGGCGUUUCGAAAAUGAAUCAAAACUUUCAACAACGGAUCUCUUGGUUCUGGCAUCGAUGAAGAACGCAGCGAAAUGCGAUAAGUAAUGUGAAUUGCAGAAUUCAGUGAAUCAUCGAAUCUUUGAACGCACAUUGCGCCCGCCAGUAUUCUGGCGGGCAUGCCUGUCCGAGCGUCAUUUCAACCCUCGAACCCCUCCGGGGGGUCGGCGUUGGGGAUCGGCCCUGCCUUGGCGGUGGCCGUCUCCGAAAUACAGUGGCGGUCUCGCCGCAGCCUCUCCUGCGCAGUAGUUUGCACACUCGCAUCGGGAGCGCGGCGCGUCCACAGCCGUUAAACACCCAACUUCUGAAAUGUUGACCUCGGAUCAGGUAGGAAUACCCGCUGAACUUAAGCAUAUCAAUAAGCGGGAGGAAGU